GGAUGGCGACGAAAGCCACUACCUCUCUUGCCAUCCACAGAUGGGAUGGAGGGGAGGCCUUCAAGGCUGUCGCCCCUAUUUCCAUCUCGAUGGAAGGGGUGAGUCACUGCUGCAGCAACUAUCUUGCCGUCCAUCCUUGGAUGGAAGGAAUGAGUGACCGCCACUGCCAUCACCAUUGCACCCAUUCAUGGGCAAAUAAGAGGGAAGGCCGUAUUGGCUUUCUUACAUCAUUGUGCUGUGGUUGUUAGUUGCGAUUUCGGAGGCAUGCUAAUCGAAUCCGUGCUAGAAGCUCUUGAAACUUGCAUGAAUUUGGACUCUACCAAAGGAGCGUUGUUCCAAUGUUUCUACGUAUUCAAUCUGGUUUUUCUAGGGCUGGAUUUUGACAUCCCAUUGAGUAACUGGCAGUUCCAAUUGUCGCUUGUCGUGACAUUGUGAGCCUGUUUUCUGUGCAGAUGGAAUAGUUGAUGCAUUCAAUUGCCCAGAGUGAGUAAGAGCGGGCGUACUUGCCGUUAGUGGAGGAUCUUCAAUGCCGAGAUGUUUUGUGAUGAAGAGGUUUGUCAUCGUGCGGCAGUUUCUGUAUGAUAAACUUGACUCUGGAGGUGCUAUUUUCUCGGAGGUAAAACCAUUCAUCUUUGCGUGGUCGGGGUUUUUGCAAUUGCGACAAGUGCUGCUGUCGAGAUCUUACGUGGGAAGUAUAUGGUGUUGGUUGUUAUAAUCUCUAUGAGUCGUGCUGUCAACAAUUUGCGCAAGGAAUGUAGCCUUGCCUUAAUUGCCAAAAAAUCUCGAUUGAGUAAAUGGAGGGAGGUGUGCCGGCAAUAUGGAUUCAGUAAGGUCAUCCGCCGCAAAUUUGAUUUUGGGACACAAAUAUUGAUAUGCAACAAUCGGAGGACAAUUUUUACAAGCUCCCAAUUCAUUUUGAAUGGCGAUUGCCGAGGUCGGAUCUAAAAUUAUUGUUACACUACUUGAUGGUUGUUAUAUUUUGUUUGAAUUAUUUUUCCCUUGUUUUAUUGUAGAGGCGGAAACGCUGUUUUAUUUUUCUUCAAGUUACUCCUUGGAUUUUCUGUGAGGUGCUCGAAAGAGAUCGCGAGCAUCGCCGUGCAAUUUUUGACCAAAUCCUGGCCAACUGUUUGAACGAAGCCUAGCCAAGAUCUUCGACAAUACCCGGCUAGAGUCAUUGAUCAAAAUCCGGCUAGGAUCUUCUAUCAAAGUUCGGUCAGGAUCUCCCAUUAAAAUCCGGCCAUGGUCUCCUAUUGAAACUCAAUCAAGGUUGGGACUUUUUGUUAGAGCCCGGCUGGAGCCUCUCGAUGAAACCUUACUGAGGCCUAAAGUUGAAACUUCACAACCUCCAGAUGAAAUACAAUCGAAUCCUCCUGUUAAAGGGUGGCUAGUCCUGACGAACAAUAUUUGAGUUGGUUGUCAACUUGUUCCUUGCUUGUACCUUUAAUUGAUACUUGGUUCAGCUUUUCCAACAGUGGUUGGCCGGAGUUGUUUAGUGAAGGUACACUUGGUACACUAGUUGGUACCUGGCAGCAUUGAACUAUGGAUAUACUUUGUGCAAGUGGCAAAUAACAGUCUGCUUGCUUGUUUCUCCAUUCAGUUUACUUUUUCAUGUGCCGAUACUUUUUUAGUGUUUACUAAUGAUGACAAACCCUUACAAUCCAAA